GUGUGUGUGUGUGUGUGAUAUUGAGAUUCUUCAUUUGACAUUUAUUUCUCUUUGGCAGCCCCUGGUUACCAUGGAAAUGUUCUGACAUAACAGAAUCAGAACAGUGACGUGGGACUGCUGAAGAGUUGAUCAUUUCUACUUUGGAGACUUGAUGGUUCACACUUUCAGACUGAGUUUUCCAAAAGACAAAUCAUCCAUGAGGGAGGCGAUGAAGAAAACUGAGAUCUACGAGUACCUGCUGUCUCUGAGCUCAGGGUUCGGCCAGGCGCACUUCGUGAUCGGAGAAACAUCUGGUGUUCGACCCUUCAGUUCACAGUGAGUUUGAUUCACAGUACACUGUAGGAAAGCUGCUGGGGGAAGGAAGCUAUGGCUCGGUCUACGCUGGAGUCCGUAAGACAGAUAAACGAAUGAAUGAUGAUUCAUCAAUGUCCAGUGGCCUGAGGUUCUGUCCUGAGGAACCUGAUGGUCUGUCCUCCAGAUGAUGAUUCAUCAGUGUCCAGUGGCCUGUGGUUCUGUCCUGGGGAACCUGAUGGUCUGUCCUCCAGAUGAUGAUUCAUCAGUGUCCAGUGGUCUGUGGUUCUGUCCUGGGGAACCUAAUGGUCUGCCCUCCAGAUGUAGACGGAUGAAGUUCAUCACUCAGGCAAAACCAAAGCCCAUUACUGUCCUCAUCACUUGUACAGACUCUUCAUUUAGAUUUUAUCUGAGGAGAUUUUGUGAUAUUUGAGUUUCAGUAUAGUUUGUAAACUCUCCUCAUCACCUUUACAUUUAGAUUUUAUUUGAUAAGAUUUUGUUAUCAGUGCUAUAGUUAUUAGUGCAGUCAUAAAUGUUAAGUUGUUUUUAACUAUAAAACAUCACUGGCAAGUACACAGACUAAACAUUAUGUAUCAUGAAAAGUGAUGUCUAUAAUAUUUACAUUAUUAUUAUUACACCUGACAUCACAUGCAUAUAGAUGCACAUUGGAUAUUGAGUUCUUUGACCUCAGAACUACUAAGUUCAGAUCAAAAUUGUUGAGAAUAAUCAAAAUGAUUCUAAUAUGUAAGUUCAUUCCUACCGUUCCGAUCUUAUCACGCCUCAGCUAGCGUACUUCACAUCACUUAUUCUGUCUCACCUUACCUGCAUCACCCGGCCUGCAUCACCCAGCCUGCCCCACUCAGCCCAGCUCACACAGCUUGCCCAUAUGGCUACCCCCCCUGACCUGCCCUGCUCUGCCUGUCCACGUAGUCUGCCCUGGCCCUGCCUGGCCCGUCCGGCCUGCCCCGCCCACCUACCUAGGCCCGCGGCCUCUGCUCACCGCUCACCAGACCUGCACAUGCUAGUUAUCCCUGCUAGGGACAUAUUUGUGUAGGUGGGGUGUAGAUAGGUAGAUCUUUGUGUAGGUGGGGUGUAGAUAGGUAGAUCUUUGUGUAGGUGGGGUGUAGAUAGGUAGAUCUUUGUGUAGGUGGGGUGUAGGUAGAUAUUUGUGUAGGUGGGGUGUAGGUAGAUAUUUGUGUAGGUGGGGUGUAGGUAGGUAGAUAUUUGUGUAGGUGGGGUGUAGGUAGGUAGAUCUUUGUGUAGGUGGGGUGUAGGUAGAUAUUUGUGUAGGUGGGGUGUAGGUAGGUAGAUCUUUGUGUAGGUGGGGUGUAGGUACGUAGAUCUUUGUGUAGGUGGGGUGUAGGUACAUAGAUCUUUGUGUAGGUGGGGUGUAGGUACAUAGAUCUUUGUGUAGGUGGGGUGUAGGUACGUAGAUCUUUGUGUAGGUGGGGUGUAGGUACAUAGAUCUUUGUGUAGGUGGGGUGUAGCUAGGUAGAUAUUUGUGUAGGUGGGGUGUAGAUACGUAGAUAUUUGUGUAGGUGGGGUGUAUUUAGGUAGAUAUUUGUGUAGGUGGGGUGUAUUUAGGUAGAUCUUUGUGUAGGUGGGGUAUUUGUGUAGAUGAGCAGGUGUGUAGGUGUGUGUAAAUGAGCAGGUGGUGUGUAGGUUAGUAGGUGUGUGUAGGUGGUCUGUUAGUGAGCAGGUAGGUGGACAGUUGUGCAGGUCAGUAGGUGGUCUGUCAGUGAGCAGGUAGGUGGACAAUUGUGCAGGUCAGUAGGUGUGUAGGUGGUCUGUCAGUGAGCAGGUAGGUGGACAGUUGUGCAGGUUAGUAGGUGUGUGUAAGUGGUCUGUCAGUGAGCAGGUAGGUGGACAGUUGUGCAGGUCAGUAGGUGUGUGUAAGUGGUCUGUCAGUGAGCAGGUAGGUGGACAAUUGUGCAGGUCAGUAGGUGUGUAGGUGGUCUGUCAGUGAGCAGGUAGGUGGACAGUUGUGCAGGUUAGUAGGUGUGUGUAAGUGGUCUGUCAGUGAGCAGGUAGGUGGACAGUUGUUCAGGUCAGUAGGUGUGUGUAAGUGGUCUGUCAGUGAGCAGGUAGGUGGACAGUUGUGCAGGUCAGUAGGUGUGUGUAGGUGGUCUGUCAGUGAGCAGGUAGGUGGACAGUUGUGCAGGUCAGUAGGUGUGUGUAAGUGGUCUGUCAGUGAGCAGGUAGGUGGACAGUUGUGCCGGUCAGUAGGUGUGUGUAAGUGGUCUGUCAGUGAGCAGGUAGGUGGACAGUUGUUCAGGUCAGUAGGUGUGUGUAAGUGGUCUGUCAGUGAGCGGGUAGGUGGACAGUUGUA